GAACCGGGAAAAUGUUUGCCACUGAAAAUUACGAGCUAGGAUGGAUAUGACAACUGAGGCAGGAACACCGUGUGAGCACCACGACGAACCACGCCAGUUUGAGCUGAAACCAAAAAAAGCGCCUCAUGCCGGCUGUGGAUCGAUGCCUCCCUGCGGGUCCCAGAGCGUGAGGCCCGUCCAGCCAUGCGGAACCCCAGGGGAGCUGGCUGCGGUUUGAUAUGCCGCAUGAUGUCUUCCAGCACAGCUGCAGCCAGCCAACCUGCGCCCCCCCCCCACGUCUCUCCACACACCGUUUGGAGUUUUAGCCCAGCGCUCUACUGGGAGCCGGGCUUGGCAGUGUUGGUUACAGGUCUCAGACGGACCACUGAUGGGGCCCUUCUGCUCAGCAUCCCUUUGUGAGCAGGUAGAAAAGGGGGAGAGAGACAGGUGUGUUUAUGUUCCACUUGUUGCACACAGCCACCCAGAACAGAUGCCCUCUGAUUUCUAAGAGGACAGUGAGGAGGAAGACAGUACAAAGAGAGAAAGGGACACGGACUGGAAGAAAAUUUGAUGGUGGAAAAAUGUAACUAUUUUCAAUGAAAGACUUGUAAAACCGAUGUGACCAAAGGUUUGCCAUAUGUACAUUUCCCCCCAUCGCAAUAAUACUUCCAGCAUAGAGCCAUCUUUUUUUUCCCCAGGAAAGUCCUCUUUUUUUCUUUCCCAACCAGCGUCCUGGAUUGGUUUGAGAAAAUGCUUCCCAGUCAUUAGAGAGUUUAUGAAAUCAUAUCGGCAUUACACCAUGCUCUCGGAGCAGACCUUAUGCACAGUCUCUGAGCUGAAGAGUGCAUCGGAGUCGGGACGUUUGGCUCAGCAGGUUGUAAGGACUCUGAGUAAUCAGGGUUUGGGGAUUCUAAUUAGGACAAUUAAGUCCUAAUUACAAUGUAAACACAUACUGCUGCCAGAACUGCAGCCCCCUAGAGUGAGGCCUUUGUAGCAUGAACUCCCAUUCUGCUCCGCUGUCAGCAACAUCCUCGUAUUCUGCAGUCCUAACUUGAAUAGAUGAUACGGCUAUUGAGUGCAAGCAGAAGUGACAUACAACCUUUAAUCAAGCAAGUCCAUCUUUAGCUGCUUUGCCUUUCGGAUUUAUCGCCGUCAUAGUUGGUGUGGCUUUACAUCAAAUGUUUAUGGUGUUCAGCUGGAAGACAAAUAGCAGAUCCGUUUGAGUGUGACACAGGGAUCAGUAUGGACCCGCUAGAUGCAUCUGGAGAACUUUAUAAAUAUGUUAAGCAUUUAGAAGUUACUGCCAUCCGUCCAUCCAUCAUCUUUAGCUAUUCCGAGACCCCCAUGCGUAGUCCAGCAGGGAAACCUCGACAUUCACCUCACUAGUGAGCUUUUCAUAGGAUCACAGAGCUACCGCAGGGCAUAACCCUGAAAGAUUUUCACUCAACGUUUGUGAUUUUUUUGCACCAGUAAUCCACUGAUUCUGGCCUUGUUCAAACUGUAUAUGAGCAUAUUUUUCCGAUGGAUUAUUUACACUUCUUAAUAUAAAUUAUCAUUGUAAAAUGAGACUGACGGAACGACUUAGUCAACCUACCACCCUUCCACUCCUCAAGAAAAAAAACAAACAAAUUUUCUAAAGUAUUGCACCAGGUCAGCUCAGGCUACUAUGGAUUUAUUUUGAACGAGGCUCCUGGCCAACAUUAAUAUAUGAAAAAAAUAAAAAAUAAAGCACUGAAGUGA